CAGACGGGUGGCAGCAGGGAGGAAUAUGGGGCAAUGGAAGCAAGGCUGAACAAGAGAGGAAGAGGGCAGGAAGACGGCUCUAUGAGUUGUAAACUGCUUUUGUACGAGGGUAAACGCAGAUACGCGUAUCUGUCUGAAAGUAUCGUACGAAUAAGGAUCGGCUAACUCCGUGCCAGCAGCCGCGGUAAUACGGAGGACUCAAGCGUUAUCCGGAUUUAUUGGGUUUAAAGGGUGCGUAGGCGGUCGGAUAAGUUAGAGGUGAAAUCCCGAGGCUCAACUUCGGAAUUGCCUCUGAUACUGUUCGGCUAGAGAGUAGUUGCGGUAGGCGGAAUGUAUGGUGUAGCGGUGAAAUGCUUAGAGAUCAUACAGAACACCGAUUGCGAAGGCAGCUUACCAAGCUACUUCUGACGUUGAGGCACGAAAGCGUGGGGAGCAAACAGGAUUAGAUACCCGGGUAGUC
rnacentral:rRNA from 1 species